rnacentral:rRNA from 1 species
GUGCCAGCAGCCGCGGUAAUACGUAGGGUGCGAGCGUUAAUCGGAAUUACUGGGCGUAAAGCGUGCGCAGGCGGUUUGUUAAGAUAGGCGUGAAAUCCCCGGGCUCACCCUGGGAACUGCGUUUAUGACUGGCAGGCGAUAGUAUGGCAGAGGGGGGUGGAAUUCCACGUGUAGCAGUGAAAUGCGUAGAGAUGUGGAGGAACACAGAUGGCGAAGGCAGCCCCCUGGGCCAAUACUGACGCUCAUGCACGAAAGCGUGGGUAGCAAACAGGACUAGAUACCCUGUUAGUCGAAGCCCUAA